AUUGAACGCUGGCGGCAGGCCUAACACAUGCAAGUCGAACGGUAACAGGAAGAAGCUUGCUUCUUUGCUGACGAGUGGCGGACGGGUGAGUAAUGUCUGGGAAACUGACUGGUGGAGGGGGAUAACUACUGGACACGGUAGCUAAUAACGCAUUACGUCGCAAGACCAAAGAGGGGGACCUUCCGGCCUCUUGCCAUCGGAUGUGCCCAGAUGGGAUUAGCUAGUAGGUGGGGUAACGGCUCACCUAGGCGACGAUCCCUAGCUGGUCUGAGAGGAUGACCAGCCACACUGGAACUGAGACACGGUCCAGACUCCUACGGGAGGCAGCAGUGGGGAAUAUUGCACAAUGGGCGCAAGCCUGAUGCAGCCAUGCCGCGUGUAUGAAGAAGGUCUUCGGGUUGUAAAGUACUUUCAGCUGGGAGGAAGGGAGGAAAGUUAAUACCUUUGCUCAUUGACGUUACCCGCAGAAGAAGCACCGGCUAACUCCGUG
rnacentral:rRNA from 1 species